AUGCACUACGCGGACAGGCGGAGCACCGCGUGCGAGGACGUGCUGCCCGAGCAGGUCGCCGGCUGCUCCGACCUCAACAUCACCGCCUUCCUCUACCGCGUCAUCCACGCCGAGGACCCCGACCUCGUCAUCUUCACAGUUCACUACUCGAGGCGCUGGGCUGCGGCUUCAUCGAGGCGGACGACAACCACUCCCGUGCAAACAAAGGUGAGCAUUCAGGAAAAGAACUCUUUCGACGAGGGAGUUGCGUAUGAGUUUGGGCUCUCGAUUGGAGCGGAGGAAGGCGGCCGGCGAGGGAGCUACGGCCGGCGCGGGCGGACGCCGGAGCUGCAGCAGUGGGGUGGAGCCUGGCGGAGGGGAGGAGCGAUGGAGGAAGACGAAGAUCCCCGGCGACAAGAAUUU
rnacentral:rRNA from 1 species